rnacentral:rRNA from 1 species
UCCGUGGCUCAGGACGACGCUGGCGGCGUGCUUAACACAUGCAAGUCGAACGGUGAACCAGAGCUUGCUCUGGGGAUCAGUGGCGAACGGGUGAGUAACACGUGGGCAACCUGCCCCAGACUCUGGGAUAACCUCGGGAAACCGAUGCUAAUACCGGAUACGACCACUUCGGACAUCCGACGGUGGUGGAAAGUUUUUCGGUCUGGGAUGGGCCCGCGGCCUAUCAGCUAGUUGGUGGGGUAAUGGCCUACCAAGGCGACGACGGGUAGCCGGCCUGAGAGGGCGACCGGCCACACUGGAACUGAGACACGGUCCAGACUCCUACGGGAGGCAGCAGUGGGGAAUAUUGCACAAUGGGCGAAAGCCUGAUGCAGCGACGCCGCGUGAGGGACGACGGCCUUCGGGUUGUAAACCUCUUUCAGCAGGGACGAAGCGAAAGUGACUGUACCUGCAGAAGAAGCACCGGCUAACUACGUG